UCCCUGUUCUUCCAUGUUCUUCAUCUGGUAGAGAUUUGAGAGAUUAAAUUGAGGUUUGGUGAUCGUGAGGGUUAGGAAAAAAUCAAGCGUGACGGUUGGUGGUGGUGUUGAUGUUGAUUCGUCAUGAGAAGAAGAAGAGAUGUUGAUCUGUAGAGGAAUCAUAAAGUUGGGGUUUGAGUUUAAGUUCAAGAUAUGGGAGAAUAGAGUAUAUCAAGGAUGGAUUGGAGAAUUCUUAUUAGAACUAAAGCUACGGUAGGUGAGGAAUUAGAUGAAACUGAAGAGAUGACUGGGGUUUUGAGGAAUCAGUAAGCUAGGGUUUCUUGAGAAAGAUCAAAUAAGAAUUAGAAGAUGAAGAUGAUGGUUAGGGGAUUGAAUUAACAGUGGGUUUGUUCUUAAUUGAAGCAUAGUUGGAUGUAUUGAGAUUUUGAAUCAGAAAUUAGGAUUCUUAAUAGAUUUGGGAUUUAGGGUUCUUGAGUUUGGGUUGCAGGUGGAACAGAGAUAGGUCUAGUGUUAACUAAAUCAGAAUCAGAGGAAGGUUGAACAAUUGUAAGGAUAAUGGUUUGUGUUCAAUGUAAUUCUUCUUCAGUAAAUUCAAUAUUAUUAAGAUGUGUUAUCAAACUGAAGUAAUUCUUGUUUUAGUUCUGAAUUGAAUAAUGAUAUUGUUGAUGUUAACAAUUUAAGAUGUCUGAGUUGAUGGAAUUGUAAAUGGUGUUUGUAUGGAAGAUAAGAAGAUGAAUUUUGAAUUAGUUUGUGUUGAAAUGUUGGUGGUAGUGGAUAUGAGGAAUCUCAGGUAGUAAUGGGAGUUUAUAGUGAUAAAGAGGAUGAAUUUGUUGGUGAUCUUGGUUCAGUUCUGAAUUAUGAAAUUCCAGGGAAUGAAUCAGUGGGUUUGUCUGUGGUUGUAGAUUAGGUUGUACCUUGAAUUGCAGUUAAUGAAUUUGGUGAAGGAUGAAUAAGCUGAAGUUGUAUUGGUGCUUAUGAAUGUAUUGUCUGGAUAGAAGUCUAGGUAGGAUGAAUGAGUAUGUAAGUUGAACUGGUGUUGCAGGUUGCUGUAGUGAUGUUGUUGAUGAAUCUGGUGAAGACGUUGCAGGUGGUAACGUUGAAGGGUAACUGAAGUCUAGAUGUGACACACAAAUGGAGUUUGGUAGUAUUGCUUUUGUAGUGGAAGUUGUUGAGAAAGAUGUGUAUGUAAUGAUUUGUUUUGGUUCUGGUAUUUCUGAAGUUCAGUUUAUGAAGAAUGGUGAGCAAAGAGUUGUAGGUAGUAAUUGUUGCGAAAGCUUGGAAAAGCUGCAAGUGCAGUUCAUCUUUAUUAACAACGAUCGAUUCAUACAACGAACCAGCGGAUUGGGGAUCUCGAGGUAGAUAUGGAUUGUCAUCAAAUCAGGUACUAAAUAAAGCUUGAAUGAAUUGAGAAGCUAAAAGAGCAUAGGAAUGGUGGCUAGCGACUACGAAAGAGAGACAACAAAGCUCCCGCUAGAAGGCAGUAAAGAACGUGAAGGAAAAAUUACGCAAAGAAUGGAUGCAAUCCGCUGGCGCACCUUUGGCAAGCCGCUUGCAAGAGCUACUCAAGAAGUGGGAUGGGAAGAGAAUCCAAAUCCAUACCCAAGAUAAAAACUCGUUUCCUCACCUGAACCAUCAUAUUUUGUACAACUGCCUAUCAUCCAACAACUCAUCCUCUCGAUGCAUCAACAUUUGAUGGAACUGCUCAGCACCGUAACACAUUUAUCCCUACGUCUAAUCGAACAGAACCCAACUCCAACUCCAUCUUCAUUUCUUUAUCUCUUUCACAUAACCUCUACCUGCAACUCCCCCUCCAUUAACACCAUCGCCCCCACCAUCUCUGCACACAACCACUUCCAUCAUAAACGCCAAUUAAACCUUUAAUCUCUAUCUCUCUCACCCUUAUCUUCUUUCUUAUCAAGAAUAGUAACCCUAGAAGUUAGGUUUGAGAGAAAUAGGUUAGGGUUAUCUUCUACUGUGUAGGAAACAUCAAAUUAAUGAAGUUGCAGAGAUGAAUUAAAGAAGGAAAACACGUUUUGGUGAGUGGGUUGUUAUUAAUUGUCAACUUGAAUUCGAAUUGGGAGAAAUUCAUGUAUAAAUAGGGAUGAGAAUUGUGUUGUAAAAGGCAUGCCCAGAUU